rnacentral:rRNA from 1 species
AACGAUGAAGCCCAGCUUGCUGGGUGGAAGAGUGGCGAACGGGUGAGUAACACGUGAGUAACCUGCCCUUGACUCUGGGAUAAGCGCUGGAAACGGCGUCUAAUACUGGAUACGACCUAUCACCGCAUGGUGUGUGGGUGGAAAGAUUUAUCGGUUUUGGAUGGACUCGCGGCCUAUCAGCUUGUUGGUGAGGUAAUGGCUCACCAAGGCGACGACGGGUAGCCGGCCUGAGAGGGUGACCGGCCACACUGGGACUGAGACACGGCCCAGACUCCUACGGGAGGCAGCAGUGGGGAAUAUUGCACAAUGGGCGCAAGCCUGAUGCAGCAACGCCGCGUGAGGGAUGACUGCCUUCGGGUUGUAAACCUCUUUUAGUAGGGAAGAAGCGAAAGUGACGGUACCUGCAGAAAAAGCACCGGCUAACUACGUGCCAGCAGCCGCGGUAAUACGUAGGGUGCAAGCGUUGUCCGGAAUUAUUGGGCGUAAAGAGCUCGUAGGCGGCUUGUC